rnacentral:rRNA from 1 species
CAAUAGCGUAUAUUUAAGUUGUUGCAGUUAAAAAGCUCGUAGUUGGAUUUCUGCUGAUCGCUGUCGGUCUGCCGUCAGGUGUGUACUGGCAGUGUUUGGCAUCUAUUCGAGAUUGGGUGUCCACUUGAUUGUGUGCACUCGAUGUCGGAGCUAAUACUUUGAGAAAAUUAGAGUGUUCCACGCAGGCGCGUGCCUUGAAUACUGCAGCAUGGGAUAUUGGAAGGCCGAUUGAGCUUUCUUGUUGGUUCUCGGUUUGAUCGGAAUGAUUAAUAGGGAUAGUUGGGGGCAUUCGUAUUCAACUGUCAGAGGUGAAAUUCUUGGAUUUGUUGAAGACGGACUACUGCGAAAGCAUCUGCCAAGGAUGUUUUCAUUGA